UUGAGUUCUGAUGUUAGACAGCAGUCGAAGCUUGUCAGUAUUAUUUACCUUCCACCGUGAGAAACCCAAUUUUAAAGUGGCGACGAGGAUAGUUCGGUGAACUUCUGUAAAAAAGGUGUUUGAAUAGAUAUAUUCAGCUGAUUUUUACCAGUUUUUGGCGUACUGCAAAUUUGUGGCAUUUGUGAAGCAUACGGCAGGCCUGGUGUGGUUAAUUUACCGGGAUUUUGUCUGGUGGUAAUCCGUAGGAAUUUUUUGGAUAAGGAACGAGUCAAUCCGAAGGCAGUGUAACCGGCUGGUGGUGGUGAUAAGGUGGAUCAAUUCUUGGGCUGUUGCUGUGUUGUUGGUUGCUGUUGUUGAUUUGGUGCUGCUGCUUGUGGCCUAUCGAGUGGAACCGUGGUGCUAAUCCCCGAUCCGAACCAGGUUUUGGUCGGUAAAAGUAGCGCCUUCAUAGUUUAACAGGUUUCACUCGGCGGUCGCCUGUUGUCAGCUCACCGGCAACAGUUACGUUUGGCUGAGGAUUCUUGCGAUCGCUCAACAACAUCAAUAUUGGUCGAUCGAGAUUCUCCAGGACAGCCUGCACAUCAUACCAUAAGCAACCAACAGUCAACACAUUCAGCUAGCGACGAUGAAGAUUUUUACGGCUUUGCAUCCGAUUCUAACAUCUUUGAUGCGCCCGUUCGAUUUUUGCCUUCGUGUUCAACGCAGAGGGCGCUUGAAAAUACCUACAUGUUCUGGGCGAAGAAGCAAUGAGCGUCUUCAAUGAUUAGGCGAUCGAAGCGAACAAAAAGUUACCAAUACUAAUAAGGAUUUCGUUUAUUUUUGAAUUACCGAUUUCGAAUUCAUGUUAAAUAAGUUUUGAAUUUUAUGUUAAGGUCAACUAAAGGAAGGAGAAUUGUAGGAGUCACCUAGUUUCGACAAACUAGUCCGAAUCCGGUAGGGAGACAGAGGUAUAAUGAAAGUGAGAUAAGAGAAAAACUGUUCGAAUGUAUUCCUAUAAAUAGCCUGUAAUAAAGUGCUCAGUUGUGUUCUGAUGUUAGACAGCA